UACCCACUCCCGGCACGGGGAGGUAGUGACGAAAAAUAACGAUACGGGACUCAUCCGAGGCCCCGUAAUCGGAAUGAGUACACUCUAAACACGUUCCCGAAAAUCAAUUGGAGGGUAAGUCUGGUGCCAGCAGCCGCGGUAAUUCCAGCUCCAAUAGCGUAUAUUAAAGUUGUUGCGGUUAAAAAGCUCGUAGUCGAAUCUGUGUCCCGCGCCGCCGGUUCAUCGCUCGCGGUGUUCAACUGGCGUGUCUCGCGGGACGUCCUGCCGGUGGGAUCACGUAUCGUUUCGGCGGUGCGUCUCCCAACUCGUCUCCGCCUUGCGCGGUUGCGAAUCCCAUCGCGGUGCUCUUUAUUGAGUGUCGAGGUGGGCCGGCACGUUUACUUUGAACAAAUUAGAGUGCUUAAAGCAGGCCAGUUUUGCCUGAAUAUUCUGUGCAUGGAAUAAUGGAAUAGGACCUCGGUUCUAUUUUGUUGGUUUUCGGAACCCCGAGGUAAUGAUUAAUAGGAACGGAUGGGGGCAUUCGUAUUGCGACGUUAGAGGUGAAAUUCUUGGAUCGUCGCAAGACGGACAGAAGCGAAAGCAUUUGCCAAAAACGCUUUCAUUGAUCAAGAACGAAAGUUAGAGGCUCGAAGGCGAUCAGAUACCGCCCUAGUUCUAACCAUAAACGAUGCCAGCUAGCGAUCCGCCGACGUUCCUCCGAUGACUCGGCGGGCAGCUUCCGGGAAACCAAAGCUUUUGGGUUCCGGGGGAAGUAUGGUUGCAAAGCUGAAACUUAAAGGAAUUGACGGAAGGGCACCACCAGGAGUGGAGCCUGCGGCUUAAUUUGACUCAACACGGGUAACCUCACCAGGUCCAGACACCGGAAGGAUUGACAGAUUGAGAGCUCUUUCUUGAUUCGGUGGGUGGUGGUGCAUGGCCGUUCUUAGU
rnacentral:rRNA from 1 species